UAUGGAGGGUUUGAUCCUGGCUCAGGGUUAACGCUGACAGCGUGCCUUAGCCAUGCAAGUCGUGCGAAGCAGUCCCUUCGGGGGCUGACUGAGCGGCGGACGGCGGAGUAACACGUGGCUAACCUGCCUUCAGGACGGGGACAACCCGGAGAAAUCCGGGCUAAUCCCCGAUGUGGUGGUUUCGGGGCAUCCCGGAGCCAUUAAAGCGGGCGCAAGCUCGCGCCUGGAGAGGGGGCCGCGGCCUAUCAGCUAGUUGGUGAGGUAACGGCUCACCAAGGCUAUGACGGGUAACCGGCGUGAGAGCGCGACCGGUCCGAGGGGCACUGAGACACGGGCCCCACCCCUACGGGGGGCAGCAGGCUGGAAAUUUGGGCAAUGGGCGAAAGCCUGACCCAGCGACGCUGUGUGCGGGAUGAAGCUCUUCGGAGUGUAAACCGCUUUUGGGGAGGGCGAUGGGGCCGGCGGCUAAUACCCGUCGGCCUUGACGGUACUCCCAGAAUAAGCCUCGGCUAACUCCGUGCCAGCAGCCGCGGUAAUACGGAGGAGGCAAGCGUUACCCGGAUUCACUGGGCUUAAAGGGGGCGUAGGCGGUCCUUCAAGUCCGUGCGUGUAAUUCCAGGGCUCAACCCUGGAACUGCGCCGGAUACUGCUGGACUAGAGGGCGAGCGGGGAGAGCGGAACUCCCGGUGUAGCGGUGGAAUGCGCAGAUAUCGGGGGGAACACCAGUGGCGAAGGCGGCUCUCUAGCUCGUUCCUGACGCUGAGGCCCGAAAGCCAGGGGAGCGAAGGGGAUUAGAUACCCCCGUAGUCCUGGCCCUAAACGAUGCACGCUAGGUGUCGGGUCCCUUGAGGACUCGGUGCCGUAGGGAAACCGUUAAGCGUGCCGCCUGGGGAGUACGCUCGCAAGGGUGAAACUCAAAGGAAUUGACGGGGGCCUGCACAAGCGGCGGAGCGCGUGGUUCAAUUCGAUGCUCACCGAAGAACCUCACCUGGGCUUGACAUGCUGGUGGUACCCCGGGCGAAAGCCUGGGGGACCUUCGGGAGCCAGCACAGGUGUUGCACGGCAGUCGUCAGCUCGUGUCGUGAGAUGUUGGGUUAAGUCCCGCAACGAGCGCAACCCCUGCCAUUAGUUGCUAUUGGCGAUCAUGUAUCGUCAAGCACUCUAAUGGGACUGCCGGCGAUGAGCCGGAGGAAGGCGGGGAUGACGUCAUGUCCGUGUGGCCUUUAUGUCCAGGGCUACACACGCGCUACAAUGGCCGGCACAAUGGGCCGCAAUACCGCGAGGUGGAGCUGAAUCCCCAAAACCGGCCUCAGUUCGGAUUGCAGGCUGCAACCCGCCUGCAUGAAGAUGGAGUCGCUAGUAAUCACCCAUCAGCUAUGGGGUGGUGAAUACGUUCCCAGGCCUUGUACACACCGCCCGUCAAACCAUGGAAGCUGGGAGCACCUGAAGGCGCACGAGAGUGCGCUCAAGGUGAGCUCGGUGACUGGGGUUAAGUCGAAACAAGGUAGCCGUACGGGAACGUGCGGCUGGAUCACCUCCUUU
rnacentral:rRNA from 1 species